UCUCAUUCCACUAAAUUUAAGACAAAACAAGUAGGAGUGUUCAUUAGUAAUAGUGGCCCAAUUCACGCGUCUCGAAUUUUAUAUACAAAUAAUAUAUUUCCACGUUUUCAUUUACACUAGUUUUCACAUGAAUCCCAUAAAAAUGUUGAUCUAGAUCUACAAGAACUUCACAAGGAAAAUAGCUGACUUUGAGAAAACUAGGUUGAUUUUGAAGCAAAAAUGGGACAUCACCAUCACCACCACCACCACCACCACGGCCACGAUAAUCCACUGGUGGCUUGUUGCUGCUGCCCUUGCAUCCUAGUUGCAUCCGUGUUCAAAAUGAUCGGACGGUGCGUGUUCGUCGCAUGCUAUCCUUUGCUGCAGUGCUUCGGUUUCGAUGAACACGGCCACCACCACGGCCAUCACCAACAUUUUUACUGAUUAUCUUUACUAUGUUGAUGUUUAAGAAUUAAGAUGAUGUUUGCUAUACCAUAUUUCAUAUUGAUUAUUUUAGGUUUAUGAAAGUGUUCUUUGUUUGAUUGUGGAGAAAACAAAAGAGUUCACUUGUUUCCAUCACUUAAUUAUUUGUUUCUUUA